rnacentral:rRNA from 1 species
GACGAACGCUGGCGGCGUGCUUAACACAUGCAAGUCGAACGAAGUGGCGAACGGGUGAGUAACGCGUAAUAAACCUGCCCUUCAGAGGGGGACACCAGUUGGAAAGGACUGCUAAUACAGCAUACUGAAGGGGGGGUUGGCGUUUGAUUUGCUAGUUGGAGGGGUAACGGCCCACCAAGGCGAUGAUCAGUAGCCGGUCUGGGAGGAUGAACGGCCACAUUGGGACUUAGACACGGCCCAGACUCCUACGGGAGGCAGCAGUGGGGAAUCUUCCGCAAUGGACGAAAGUCUGACGGAGCAACGCCGCGUGAGUGAUGACGGCCUUCGGGUUGUAAAGCUCUGUUAAUCGGGACGCGGUACCGGAAUAGAAAGCCACGGCUAACUACGUGCCAGCAGCCGCGGUAAUAC